CUCUAGGCAGUGAGUUCCAGGCUGGCCAAGUCUGCAAAGAUCAGUGAAGAACAGCAGCAGUGACUGAGCUGGAUUUCUGAGAAAACUAUUCAUCUGUUUCUACGCAUUAUUCAUGUAGUAUUUUAAAUCAGCCUUAGGAGACAGAUACCAUUACUAUGCAUAGUCACCCCCAGGGAAGGACAUACACUCUUGGAAUACUAGAGUUGUAGGGGUCUUUACACUGUAUCAGCUUCCUACAUAGUUCCAAGUAGGGUUGGCCACAAAAGAGAUAGAAACACUUGAAGGGGUGUCCUUUUUUUUGGUCAAUGGACUUCCUUGGUUGACAUGAGCUAGAAGUGGGCCUGCUGGCCCUCCAUCCUCCCCAGCCCCUUUGGCUCCUGGGUCAGGGAUGUAUGGUUAGCUCCAUGAGGAAGGACUUGGGCUUCUGCAAGUGGUUCAUCACAAUGAAGUCGGAGGUACCAAGGACUGAUGUGAGUUUUACCCUAUCCCACAGGACGCCUGCUUGUGUCUGUCAUUCUUGAUCUCCCCCUGCUUUAUGCCCAUUGUAUCUUCCUGUUUCCCUUUGGCCCUCAGGCUAAGCAGGUGACUGUCCUCUGGAGACUUCUUAGCCGAUUCCAAUAAUUAUAUGCAUAAGAUUUAGUCCUA